rnacentral:rRNA from 1 species
ACACGUAGGGGCCUGACGUUGUUCGGAAUCAUUGGGCGUAAAGGGCGCGCAGGCGGCCGUCCAAGUCCGGUGUUAAAUGGUCGGGCUCAACCCGAUCAUGCGCUGGACACUGGGCGGCUGGAGUCCCGGAGGGGAUGCCGGAAUUCCACGUGUAGGGGUGAAAUCUGUAGAUAUCUGGAAGAACACCGAUGGCGAAGGCAGGCAUCUGGCCGGAGACUGACGCUGAGGCGCGAAGGCGCGGGGAGCGAACAGGUUUAGAUACCCUGGUAGUCCGCGCAGUAAACGAUGCGCACCAGGUGUCGGGCGGCAGCGCCCGGUACCGGAGCAAACGCGAUGAGUGCGCCGCCUGGGGAGUAUGCCCGCAAGGGUGAAACUCAAAUGAAUUGACGGGG